rnacentral:rRNA from 1 species
UACGAAGGGGGCUAGCGUUGCUCGGAAUCACUGGGCGUAAAGGGUGCGUAGGCGGGUCUUUUAAGUCAGGGGUGAAAUCCUGGAGCUCAACUCCAGAACUGCCUUUGAUACUGAGGAUCUUGAGUUCGGGGAGAGGUGAGUGGAACUGCGAGUGUAGAGGUGAAAUUCGUAGAUAUUCGCAAGAACACCAGUGGCGAAGGCGGCUCACUGGCCCGAUACUGACGCUGAUGCACGAAAGCGUGGGGAGCAAACAGG